GACGAACGCUGGCGGCGUGCCUAACACAUGCAAGUCGAACGGAGUUAAGACUUCGGUUUUAACUUAGUGGCGAACGGGUGAGUAACGCGUGAGGAACCUGCCUUUCAGUGGGGGACAACAGUUGGAAACGACUGCUAAUACCGCAUAACAUGUACGGAUCGCAUGGUCUGAAUAUCAAAGGAGCAAUCCGCUGAAAGAUGGCCUCGCACCUGAUUAGAUAGUUGGUGAGGUAACGGCUCACCAAGUCGACGAUCAGUAGCCGGACUGAGAGGUUGAACGGCCACAUUGGGACUGAGACACGGCCCAGACUCCUACGGGAGGCAGCAGUGGGGGAUAUUGCGCAAUGGGGGAAACCCUGACGCAGCGAUGCCGCGUGGAGGAAGAAGGUCUUCGGAUCGUAAACUUUUGCUUCAGGGACGAUAAUGACGGUACCUGAGGAGGAAGCCAACGGCUAAACUACGUG
rnacentral:rRNA from 1 species